rnacentral:rRNA from 1 species
UACGGAGGGUGCAAGCGUUGUCCGGAUUUAUUGGGUUUAAAGGGUGCGUAGGCGGUCUUUUAAGUCAGUGGUGAAAUCCUCCAGCUUAACUGGAGAACUGCCAUUGAUACUGGGAGACUUGAGUACAGACGAGGUAGGCGGAAUUGACAGUGUAGCGGUGAAAUGCAUAGAUAUUGUCAAGAACACCGAUUGCGAAGGCAGCUUACUAGACUGUAACUGACGCUGAGGCACGAAAGUGUGGGGAUCAAACAGG